CCUACGGGAGGCAGCAGUGAGGAAUAUUGGUCAAUGGCCGGAAGGCUGAACCAGCCAAGCCGCUUGCAUUCCUCCUUUUCCCCUCCUUUUCCCCUUCUUUUGUCAAGGGACAAAAUCAGGCUCGAGAGCCUGACCGAGGGUACUUGAAGAAAAAGCAUCGGCUAACUCCGUGCCAGCAGCCGCGGUAAUACGGAGGAUGCGAGCGUUAUCCGGAUUUAUUGGGUUUAAAGGGUGCGUAGGCGGACUGUUAAGUCAGCGGUAAAAGCCCGGGGCGCAACCCCGGCGAGCCGUUGAAACUGGCUGUCUUGAGAUGUCGAGAGGUAUGCGGAAUGCGCAGUGUAGCGGUGAAAUGCUUAGAUAUUGCGCAGAACUCCGAUUGCGAAGGCAGCAUACCGGCGGCGAUCUGACGCUGAGGCACGAAAGCGUGGGUAUCGAACAGGAUUAGAUACCCCGGUAGUC
rnacentral:rRNA from 1 species